GAUGAAGAACGCAGCGAAAUGCGAUAACUAAUGUGAAUUGCAGAAUUCCGUGAAUCAUCGAAUCUUUGAACGCACAUUGCGCCCGCCAGCACUCUGGCGGGCAUGCCUGUCCGAGCGUCAUUUCAACCCUCGCGCCGUCCCUCCAGGGGGCUCGGCGCGGUGUUGGGGGACACGGCCCCGGCCGCCCCCGAAAUGCAGUGGCGACCCCGCCGCGGCCCCUCCAGCGCAGUAAGCACGCUCGCUACGGGAGGCCCGGUGGACGCGUCCGCCGUAAAACGCCCAACUCUUCAGAAGUUGACCUCGGAUCAGGUAGGGAUACCCGCUGAACUUAAGCAUAUCAAUAAGCGGAGGA
rnacentral:misc_RNA from 1 species